CGUCCCUGGAUGCUCUUGAAAGAAUCGUCCCCCGCUCACCCUCUCGAAGUCGACGGGUUCUCUAAACUUCGAUUUGGGCCCUUGCCAGAAACUCCCCACUGCGAUGGCUCUUCUUUAAAAUGCCACCGAGAAAAGAAGACCCCGGUGUCCGCGGUUUCCCCACCUCUAGCGGCCCGCGUGGAGGGAAGAGAGGCCGGGAGGGAGAAGGAUCCAAGUCAGGGAUGGAAGUUUAGCCCGGGGAGAGGAAAAAUCCAACACGACACAACCACCGCUCGGUCCUUUUUAAGACGCACCCCGUCCACCCCCCACCCCCCAUCUGUCUGGUCAGUUGGAGUUCUUGCUCUAUUAUUGCUGAAAGUCGUUUCCCAUCAGCACUUCCACAACUUCUGAGAGAGAAGCCAGCUUCCAGGAACUCUUUCGGAGCCAGAAGGAAGACUACAGCCUCCCGUCUCUCCUCCCUCCUUGAAAAUCCCCGCCGCCUCCACGAUACGCUCAAAUCCGUUUAAAUCAAAGAAAAAAAGAGAAAGAAAACAGAGUUUCAGACCCCACCGACAAGGCCGGGAGGAAAGGGGGUGCAGUUUAAUAUAUCCAAUAGAUUUUUGAAGUGACUUCCACCCAAGUGGAAAAAGAGUAUUAUUAUUAUUUUUUUGGAGGGUGAGGGGGGUUACUUGCCGGGAGUGGGAGGAAAAUCCCGUCUAUUUUCUCUGAAAUUCAGUUUCAAAGCUCAUGCAGUUUUGAAGCGCUUUGUAUCAGCGGCAUUCUCUGCUUCAGAUUCGGGGGGGGGGGGCGGUCGAAACCCCAAGAUGAAGCAAUGGAAACGAACCCCUCGAAACCUUGGAAAACUCCAGUUUUAAAAAAAUGACCUUUCUUUGCCUAAUUUUGGAGCUAGCCUAGCUGCGUAAUUAUAUUUGCACUUACAGAAGACCGCAUCACAGUUCCCUUAUUGGUUUAAAUUCCAUUAAAUAUAUUGCAGGAUCUCCUAGGUUAAGCUUGAUUUAAAUUUGCAUACAUUUUCAUAUAUUUAGCAGAAAUAAAAGAAGGCUCGCAGCUACCAGAAAGUCAUUAAAGCAUUCGUUUCUCUGAGAAGACACAUCAGAAGAAAAUUCAAGAAAAUGAGAAAAAAAUAAAUCAAAACGAAGGCACGAAGGCAAGGGUGGGGGGCAGAUUCCGGGGUCCCUUUCCUGCGCAGCAGCUUCCUCGUAUAUGCUGAAACUGAGGACCAGAACUUGGAUUCGGAUCUGCACCAUCUGUCUUCCAGGCCCCCGCUCUGUCCCCUAGGCUGAGUGGCCGAUAAGGACAGGGCCGCGUUCCCAUCCCGGUCCAGUCAUCACUCAGUCAUCAGUGGUGUUCCAGUCAGCAGAACCCGAGCGACUCACCUCAGAAGCGGGAGGACAGAUGCUACCUCACUCCUUUGAUGUCCCAAGGCCGCGAACCGAACCGCCCCCUCGGAAGCCACCCUUUUCCCCGAGGGAACAUGGCACCGGCUCCCCACACCAUGCCAGUCUACCCCCAGUGGCACCACCUGUCCUGAGAUUUCUUCCCCCACAGAAAUUCCCAGGGGAAAACCCGGUGUUGGAAGGGGCAAGAACAAGAAUCGUGAGUCCUUAAAGCUUUCUAUUUCCUGUUGGCUCAAGCAGGAGGGUGGACCGACUAGAUUUCUUCAUGGGAACCUGGUAGGUCGCCUGGUUCGGACCGCCCUGCUCUUCUGAUGGGGGAAGGCUUUGAUCAUCUGACUUCCUCUGUUCACUCUGCCCUGCCGGGGUUAUUUCCCUCAGAGACAUACUAGCUGAGGGAGUGUCUACAGUUGAUUCCUCUUCAGACAAACAACUCAGAGAAGGAAAAUGAUGCACCCCAGCAAGAGGACCCCAGCAGGAGAAGGAAUAGUCUGUGAACAGUGGGUGCUCUCGGUUGGAUCCGGGAGGCCAGCGCCCUGGUGACGCCAGUGUUGUGGAGCCGGUUUGGCCGCAGCGUCUCGAGUCCCGCGGUGGACGGGGUGACCUCCCUCCUCCCCGGCCCCGGCCCCCAGUUUUGGGAUGUCCCCCUGGGACCUGAGGCGGCCUGCUGGCACGUCGGCCGUCGCGGCCUGUCCACGUCGUUAGCUCGGGGGAAACCGGGGAAGAGCCACCGGGACUGGUCGCUUCACGGUGCGGGGGAAGUGCUGGGGUGAGUUGUGCUGGACGCUGGAUAAGUAGUCCCCGGCCUAGAGAAGAUUCCUACAAUCACACACACAUUCAUAUACACACUCUCUCUCACAUAUACUCACAAGCACACACUCUCACACUCAUUCUCUC